rnacentral:rRNA from 1 species
CCUACGGGAGGCAGCAGUGGGGAAUAUUGCACAAUGGGGGAAACCCUGAUGCAGCGACGCCGCGUGAGUGAAGAAGUAUUUCGGUAUGUAAAGCUCUAUCAGCAGGAACGAGACAAGACGGUACCUGACUAAGAAGCCCCGGCUAACUACGUGCCAGCAGCCGCGGUAAUACGUAGGGGGCAAGCGUUAUCCGGAAUCACUGGGUGUAAAGGGAGCGUAGACGGCUGUGCAAGCCUGAAGUGAAAGGCGGGGGCCCAACCCCUGGACUGCUUUGGGAACUGUACGGCUGGAGUGCAGGAGAGGUAAGUGGAAUUCCUAGUGUAGCGGUGAAAGGCGUAGAUAUCAGGAGGAACACCGGUGGCGAAGGCGGCCUGCUGGACUGCGACUGACGUUGAGGCCCGAAAGCGUGGGGAGCAAACAGGAUUAGAUACCCGAGUAGUC